UACGUAGGGUGCGAGCGUUAAUCGGAAUUACUGGGCGUAAAGCGUGCGCAGGCGGCGCGUUAAGACAGGUGUGAAAGCCCCCGAGCUUAACUUGGGAAUUGCGCUUGUGACUGGCGUGCUGGAGUGUGGCAGAGGGAGGUGGAAUUCCACGUGUAGCAGUGAAAUGCGUAGAUAUGCGGAGGAACACCGAUGGCGAAGGGCACUCCCUGGGCCACACUGACGCUCAUGCACGAAAGCGUGGGGAGCAAACAGG
rnacentral:rRNA from 1 species